AUUGAACGCUGGCGGCAGGCCUAACACAUGCAAGUCGAGCGGAUGAAGGGAGCUUGCUCCUGGAUUCAGCGGCGGACGGGUGAGUAAUGCCUAGGAAUCUGCCUGGUAGUGGGGGAUAACGUCCGGAAACGGGCGCUAAUACCGCAUACGUCCUGAGGGAGAAAGUGGGGGAUCUUCGGACCUCACGCUAUCAGAUGAGCCUAGGUCGGAUUAGCUAGUUGGUGGGGUAAAGGCCUACCAAGGCGACGAUCCGUAACUGGUCUGAGAGGAUGAUCAGUCACACUGGAACUUGGACAACGUCCAGGCUCCUACGGGAGGCAGCAGUGGGGAAAAUUUGACAAUGGGGGGAAGCCUGAUCCAGGCAUGCCGCGUGUGUGAAGAAGGUCUUCGGAUUGUAAAGCACUUUAAGUUGGGAGGAAGGGCAGUAAGUUAAUACCUUGCUGUUUUGACGUUACCAACAGAAUAAGCACCGGCUAACUUCGUG
rnacentral:rRNA from 1 species